rnacentral:tRNA from 1 species
GCCCGGGUGGCGGAAUUGGCAGACGCGCCUGGUUGAGGGCCAGGUGGGAGUUAAAUCCCGUGGAGGUUCGAGUCCUCUCCCGGGCA